rnacentral:rRNA from 1 species
ACCCGCUGAACUUAAGCAUAUCAAUAAGCGGAGGAAAAGAAACCAACAGGGAUUGCCCUAGUAACGGCGAGUGAAGCGGCAACAGCUCAAAUUUGAAAUCUGGCGUCUUUGGCGUCCGAGUUGUAAUUUGCAGAGGGCGCUUUGGCAUUGGCAGCGGUCCAAGUUCCUUGGAACAGGACGUCACAGAGGGUGAGAAUCCCGUACGUGGUCGCUAGCCUUUACCGUGUAAAGCCCCUUCGACGAGUCGAGUUGUUUGGGAAUGCAGCUCUAAAUGGGAGGUAAAUUUCUUCUAAAGCUAAAUACUGGCCAGAGACCGAUAGCGCACAAGUAGAGUGAUCGAAAGAUGAAAAGCACUUUGGAAAGAGAAUUAAAAAGCACGUGAAAUUGUUGAAAGGGAAGCGCUUGCAGCCAGACUUGCCUGUAGUUGCUCAUCCGGGUUUUUACCCGGUGCACUCUUCUAUAGGCAGGCCAGCAUCAGUUUGGGCGGUUGGAUAAAGGUCUCUGUCAUGUACCUCUCUUCGGGGAGAACUUAUAGGGGAGACGACAUGCAACCAGCCCGGACUGAGGUCCGCGCAUCUGCUAGGAUGCUGGCGUAAUGGCUGU